GGGUGAGUAACGCGUAAUCAACCUGCCCUUCAGAGGGGGACAACAGUUGGAAACGACUGCUAAUACCGCAUACGAUUCCACCUCGGCAUCGAGGAGGAAUGAAAGGUGGCCUCUACAUGUAAGCUAUCACUGAAGGAGGGGAUUGCGUCUGAUUAGCUAGUUGGAGGGGUAACGGCCCACCAAGGCGAUGAUCAGUAGCCGGUCUGAGAGGAUGAACGGCCACAUUGGGACUGAGACACGGCCCAGACUCC
rnacentral:rRNA from 1 species